UGGAACUGCAGUCUGUCAGAGAUCAGCUGUUCUUCUCUGGCUUCAGCUCUGAAGUCAAACCCCUCUCAUCUGAGAGAACUGGAUCUGAGUGACAACGACCUGCAGGACUCAGGAGUGAAGGAGCUGCUUGAUCUACAGCAGAGUCCAACCUGUCGACUGGAGAUUCUGAGGUGGGAGACUUAGUGGAGCUAAGUGUGUAGAGGACAGUGUGUGGACGGAGGCUGAGCUGUGUCCUGAGGAUCCAGAGGCUGAAGCAGCAGCAGCUUGUGUGUAGUCUCCAAUCUACACAACCCCUAAUCUGCAUGUGUUUGUGAGAUGAAGAAAACACCUGGCGAAAACAUGGGGAGAACAUGCAGACUCUGACAGAAUCAGAAUUCUUGUAUUUGCAAAGUAUGUUUGCACAUACAGGAAAUUGCCUUGGUGUCAUUGGUUCACUGAACAUAAAACAACAAUAUAAAAACAACAAUAUAGAACAAAAUAGAAUAAAAUGGAAUAAAAUAUAUACAGUAACAGAGUUACAGACUCCACACAGGAAGACCCAUCUGAACCGGAUUCAAACCAGCAACCUUCCUGCCCCGAUUGUGUUUAUUCACAUGAAGAAUGUGUUUAUUGAGAUGACACAACACAAGCAGAAUAUAUAAACCCUCUAUAAAGAGUCACAUACAGUGUGUUUAAGUUUGUCUUUAUUAUUUAUCACCUUUGUACCUCAGUCUGUCUCCAUGUGUGUAGAACCACAUUCUGUGUAUAUGUUUGUUUAUGAUCUUAAAGUUCCUGGAUUCACGUCACAAAUUGAUUUAGUUCAACACAAAGUUCAACACAUUGAAAUCACUUUGAGUUUAAAAUCAGAGUUUUGUCUUUGACACAAAAGAUCAAAACUCUGGACUUAAAAAUGGGACGUUUUCAUUUCUGCAUCAGGUGCAGAGCGGUGGUGGCUUUUCUACUUUUGACCAACAGGUGGCGCUGCAGUAUAACAGUAGCACAUCCCAGUCAAAGACUUUAUAUUCAGUCUAUGAGUCAAACACAUGGAUCAUUUCCUCUGUGACAAACCAGAUGUAACGAGAAGAAAAACAUCUCAGAGAGAAAAGUUCUGUUUCUACUUGUCUCUGCUUUAAUGCUCAAUAAACAUCCUUCCACCGA